AUUGAACGCUGGCGGCAGGCUUAACACAUGCAAGUCGAGCGAGAGGCGGAGGGGUGAGUAAUGUCUGGGAAACUGCCUGACGGAGGGGGAUAACUACUGGAAACGGUAGCUAAUACCGCAUACCAUCAGAUCUGCCCAGAUGGGAUUAGCUAGUGGGGGGGGUAAAGGCUCACCGAGGCGACGAUCCCCAGCUGGUCUGAGAGGAUGACCAGCCACACUGGAACUGAGACACGGUCCAGACUCCUACGGGAGGCAGCAGUGGGGAAUAUUGCACAAUGGGCGAAAGCCUGAUGCAGCCAUGCCGCGUGAGUGAAGAAGGCCUUCGGGUUGUAAAGCACUGUCGGCGAGGAGGCGUUACUCGCAGAGGAAGCACCGGCUAACUCCGUGCCAGCAGCCGCGGUAAUUC
rnacentral:rRNA from 1 species